rnacentral:rRNA from 1 species
AGAGUUUGAUCCUGGCUCAGGAUGAACGCUAGCGGCAGGCCUAAUACAUGCAAGUCGAGGGGCAGCACGGUAGCAAUACUGGUGGCGACCGGCGCACGGGUGCGUAACACGUAUAUAAUCUGCCUUUAACAGGGGGAUAGCCCGGAGAAAUCCGGAUUAAUACCCCAUAACACUUUAGUUAGCAUUAACAGAAGUUGAAAGCUCCGGCGGUUAAAGAUGAGUAUGCGUCUGAUUAGCUAGUUGGUGAGGUAACGGCUCACCAAGGCGACGAUCAGUAGGGGAUCUGAGAGGAUUAACCCCCACACGGAUACUGAGACACGGAUCCGACUCCUACGGGAGGCAGCAGUAAGGAAUAUUGGACAAUGCCCGCAAGGGUGAUCCAGCCAUGCCGCGUGCAGGAAGACGGCCCUAUGGGUUGUAAACUGCUUUUACACCGGAGAAAACCUCCCCUCGUGAGGGGAGCUGAUAGUAUGGUAGAAUAGCUCGCCUCCC